AACGAACGCUGGCGGCAUGCCUAACACAUGCAAGUCGAACGAGACCUUCGGGUCUAGUGGCGCACGGGUGCGUAACGCGUGGGAACCUGCCUUUAGGUUCGGAAUAACUCAGAGAAAUUUGAGCUAAUACCGGAUGAUGUCUUCGGACCAAAGAUUUAUCGCCUUUAGAUGGGCCCGCGUUGGAUUAGCUAGUUGGUGGUGUAAAGGCCUACCACGGCGACGAUCCAUAGCUGGUCUGAGAGGAUGAGCAGCCACACUGGGACUGAGACACGGCCCAGACUCCUACGGGAGGCAGCAGUGGGGAAUAUUGGACAAUGGGCGAAAGCCUGAUCCAGCAAUGCCGCGUGAGUGAUGAAGGCCUUAGGGUUGUAAAGCUCUUUUACCCGAGAUGAUAAUGACAGUAUCGGGAGAAUAAGCUCCGGCUAACUCCGUG
rnacentral:rRNA from 1 species